AGGGUGUAAACGCUGCAGACUUGGUGUUGGGAACCCUUCGGGGUGCUCAGUGCCGGAGAGAAGUUGUUAAGUCUGCUACUUGGGGAGUACGUCCGCAAGGAUGAAACUUAAAGGAAUUGGCGGGGGAGCACCGCAACGGGAGGAGCGUGCGGUUUAAUUGGAUUCAACGCCGAAAAACUCACCAGGGAAGACUGUUACAUGAAGGCCGAGAUGAAGACUCUGCUAGAUUUUCAGAGAGGAGGUGCAUGGGCGUCAGUGACU
rnacentral:rRNA from 1 species